AUACGGAAGGUGCAAGCGUUACUCGGAAUCACUGGGCGUAAAGCGCGCGCAGGCGGCUAUUUAAGUUGGAUGUGAAGGCCUACGGCUCAACCGUAGAACUGCAUCCAAAACUAUUUAGCUAGAGUGUGGGAGAGGAAGAUGGAAUUAGUUGUGUAGGGGUAAAAUCCGUAGAGAUAACUAGGAAUACCAAAAGCGAAGGCAAUCUUCUGGAACACUACUGACGCUGAGGCGCGAAAGCGUGGGGAGCAAACGGGAUUAGAAACCCCAGUAGUCC
rnacentral:rRNA from 1 species